GUCUAAGAUGCUAGUCAGAUGUGUACACUAUACUAACAGACUAUGGUACUAAGUUUAUAUCAUUUUUAAUUAUCCACUCAUUAUUGUAGUAUCAUUCACAAUGAUAUUACAAUAAUUAUACUUAUUGACACCAUCAAUAAGAUUGGACAAUAGUAACAAUCACUUAAAAUGACAUCUUCAAGAUUGAGAACAAGAUGAUU
rnacentral:lncRNA from 1 species